ACUUCUUCUUUAUUGAGGGCAUAACUUCCACUCCCUUGACAUUGAGGACAGGCUCCCUUUUUAUACCAUUUGCUCUACAGAAGUAUUUUCUACUAAUUAUUCAUUGAUCAACAACUUGGCCCAGCAACAGCAAACACCAAGCAACUUCCAUGUCUUAAUGGCUGGAGAACAGGCAGUCUGAGCCAGCAAGGCGUCUCCUGAAUGACCCUUCUUUGUUCCUUCUGAACUCUUUACAUUCCUCAUAGCCUCAUCGUUAAAAGUCCAAUGUUAUCACCAAUCAUGGGGCUUGUCAACCCCCAUGGCCACGCUUCCACUGGAGGACUGUGUCCAUCUCCCUUUGUUGUAGAGGCACCGUUCCCACUGACAAUGUCUCUCUCUCUACAGCACAGUGGAGACUGUACUGGAGGGUGAAAUGUUGUCUCUCGUAGCUGCAUGCGUUAGCAGCGUCUUCUUUCUUCUGAGAACUGAGGAUCUGGACGCUUGGUUCACCAUGACGGUAUGUGCUGCUGAGCCACAAGAGCCCCCAUUCCCCUGCACUGCAUGGAGUUUCCUCCUGCUUAGAAACAACUGAAGAUCCCUGAUGAGGCAGGUCUCGGACUGCUUCCCUCCACCCCUUCCCUCUCACCCUUGCCACAACACUUUGUCCUUCUUACAGAUCCUGCAAAAGAUGGAUGUCAUGCUGAGAACAUUGCUGAUCAGACCUCCGGCCUCCAGCCUCGGUGAUAAGUUGCAGAGCAUCUUGAAGCUGCUACUGGAAUUUACCACUUCUUCAAGCAGAGCUGUGCAGGUAAACGCCGCGGAGAGGAUCUGGAAUCUGUUUGCUUUCCUGUACAACUGUUGCAGUAAAGAGGUAAGGAGCCAGGCACCCACCAGCCAGUCCAUCUCCCUUUCCCUUCUCAUGGAUUCUCAUGGGGACCAUGAGCACGGCUCUGCCCUGAAGGGUCUUUGUUCCUCCUUUCCCCUGAUGAAUGUGUCAUAUCUUCCUUCCUUCUUUCCAUAG
rnacentral:lncRNA from 1 species